ensembl:snRNA U6 U6 spliceosomal RNA
GCACUCACUUUGGCAGCACAUAUACUGAAAUUAGAAUGAUACAGAGUAGAUUAGCAUGGCCCUUGUGCAAGGAUGACAUGCAAAUUAAUUAUGCAUUCCAUAUUUUU